rnacentral:rRNA from 1 species
UACGGAGGGUGCAAGCGUUAUCCGGAUUCACUGGGUUUAAAGGGUGCGUAGGUGGGCUAGUAAGUCCGUGGUGAAAUCUCCAGGCUUAACUUGGAAACUGCCGUGGAUACUAUUAGUCUUGAAUAUUGUGGAGGUAAGCGGAAUAUGUCAUGUAGCGGUGAAAUGCAUAGAUAUGACAUAGAACACCAAUUGCGAAGGCAGCUGGCUACACAAAUAUUGACGCUGAGGCACGAAAGCGUGGGGAUCAAACAGG